AACGUAGGACACAAGCGUUAUCCGGAGUUACUGGGCGUAAAGGGCGUGUAGGCGGAUCGGUAAGUCUACUCUGAAAGCUCCUGGCUAAACUGGGAGAGGCGAGUGGAGACUGUCGGUCUAGAGUGAGGAAGAGGAAAGUGGAAUUCCGCGUGUAGUGGUGAAAUGCGUAGAGAUGCGGAGGAACACCAGUGGCGAAGGCGGCUCACUGGCCCGGUACUGACGCUGAGGUGCGAAAGCGUGGGGAGCAAACAGG
rnacentral:rRNA from 1 species